CCUACGGGAGGCAGCAGUGGGGGAAUCUUGCGCAAUGGGCGAAAGCCUGACGCAGCCAUGCCGCGUGAAUGAUGAAGGUCUUAGGAUUGUAAAAUUCUUUCACCGGGGACGAUAAUGACGGUACCCGGAGAAGAAGCCCCGGCUAACUUCGUGCCAGCAGCCGCGGUAAUACGAAGGGGGCUAGCGUUGCUCGGAAUUACUGGGCGUAAAGGGAGCGUAGGCGGAUAGUUUAGUCAGAGGUGAAAGCCCAGGGCUCAACCUUGGAAUUGCCUUUGAUACUGGCUAUCUUGAGUAUGGGAGAGGUUAGCGGAACUCCGAGUGUAGAGGUGAAAUUCGUAGAUAUUCGGAAGAACACCAGUGGCGAAGGCGGCUAACUGGCCCAUUACUGACGCUGAGGCUCGAAAGCGUGGGGAGCAAACAGGAUUAGAUACCCUGGUAGUCCACGCCGUAAACGAUGAGUGCUAGUUGUCGGCAUGNAUGCAUGUCGGUGACGCGAGCUACGACAUA
rnacentral:rRNA from 1 species